CCAGCAGCCGCGGUAAUUCCAGCUCUCCUAGUGUAUCUCGUUAUUGCUGCGGUUAAAAAGCUCGUAGUUGGAUCUAGGUUACGUGCCGCAGUUCGCAAUUUGCGUCAACUGUGGUCGUGACUUCUAAUUUGCUGGUUUGAGGUUGGGUUCGCCCUUCAACUGCCAGCAGGUUUACCUUGAAUAAAUCAGAGUGCUCAAUACAAGCGCUUGCUUGAAUAGCUCAUCAUGGAAUAAUGAAACAGGACUUCGGUUCUUUUUGUUGGUUCUAGAACUGAUUUAAUGGUUAAGAGGGACAAACCGGGGGCAUUCGUAUCAUUACGCGAGAGGUGAAAUUCGUGGACCGUAGUGAGACGCCCAACAGCGAAAGCAUUUGCCAAGAAUGUCUUCAUCAAUCAAGAACGAAAGU
rnacentral:rRNA from 1 species